rnacentral:rRNA from 1 species
ACAAGUUGACAAGAGCAUCGGGUGGAUGCCUUGGCGUCGGAAGGCGAUGAAAGACGUGGUAAGCUGCGAAAAGCCUCGGGGAGAAGCUAAACAUUCUGUGAUCCGGGGAUUUCUGAAUGGGGAAACCCGGCGGAGGUCAUGCUCCGUCGCGGGCACUUGAAUACAUAAAGUGUCCAGCGCCAACUCAGGGAAGUGAAACAUCUCAGUACCUGAAGGAAAAGAAAUCAAACGAGACUCCCAAAGUAGCGGCGAGCGAAAUGGGAUGAGCCCAAACCGGCUGGAUUCGUUCAGCCGGGGUUGUAGGGCCGGCAUAUGUGAUUCAUGAGUAGGCAGGGGAAAUGAGCUGGAAAGCUCUGCCAGAGCGGGUGACAGCCCCGUACCUGAAACCGAAAGCGACACAGCCGGUACCUGAGUACCGCGAGACACGUGGAACCUCGUGGGAAUCCGGGAGGACCAUCUUCCAAGGCUAAGUACUAACCGACGACCGAUAGUGUACCAGUACCGUGAGGGAAAGGUGAAAAGAACCUCUGUUAGAGGAGUGAAAUAGAAUCUGAAACCUGGUGCUUACAAGCUGUGAGAGCGGACUUGUUCCGUGAUCACGUGCCUUUUGCAUAAUGAGUCAGCGAGUUAAUCUGUACUGCAAGGUUAAGCGCAAGUGGAGCCGUAGGGAAACCGAGUCUGACAAGGGCGAUGAGUAGUGCGGAUUAGACCCGAAACCGGGUGAUCUAUCCAUGAGCAGGUUGAAGCAAGGGUAAAACCUUGUGGAGGACCGAACCAAUACCGGCUGAAAACGGUUUGGAUGACUUGUGGAUAGGGGUGAAAGGCCAAUCAAACCCGGUGAUAGCUGGUUCUCCCCGAAAUAUAUUGAGGUAUAGCCUCAUGGAUUGUCUACCGGAGGUAAAGCACUGACAGGGCUAGGGGUCCUACCAGAUUACCAAACCCUAUCAAACUCAGAAUGCCGGUCAGAUGUACCAUGGGAGUCAGACGGCGGGUGCUAAGGUCCGUCGUCGAGAGGGUAAGAGCCCAGAUCAACAGCUAAGGUCUCCAAAUCUAUGCUCAGUGGUUAAGGUGGUGACGUUGUAGAGACACCCAGGACGUUGGCUUAGAAGCAGCCAUCGUUUAAAGAAAGCGUAAUAGCUCACUGGUCUAAUGACGUUGCGCCGAAAAUGUAACGGGGCUAAGCAUAGUACCGAAGCUUUGAAUUCCGCGAAUGCGGUCUGGUAGGGGAGCGUUCUUCACGGGCUGAAGGUGUGUCGUAAGGCAUGCUGGACUGUGGAGAAGUGAUUAUGCUGACAUGAGUAACGAUAAAACGGGUGAAAAACCCGUUCGCCGUAAACCCAAGGUUUUCCGGGUAAAGGUAAUCUUCCCGGAGUUAGUCGGCCCCUAAGGCGAGGCUGAAAGGCGUAGCUGAUGGGAAACGUGUUAAUAUUCACGUACUUGUGUGUUCGCGCGAUGAAGGGACGCAGGAAGAUAGGCAAGCCGGGCGCUGGUUGUCCCGGUGCAAGCGUGUAGGGAUGAGAAGUUGGCAAAUCCGCUUCUCUUUAUCCUGAGACGCGAGUCCGUGACCGAAAGGUCUGAAGUUGUUGAGUCUAUGCUGCCUAGAAAAGCUUCUAAGUAUAGGACACGCAAACCGUACCGGAAACCAACUCAGGUGGGUGGGAUGAAUAAUCCAAGGCGCUCGAGAGAACUCUGGCCAAGGAACUCGGCAAAAUAACCCCGUACCUUCGGAAGAAGGGGUGCUUUUUAGGGUGAAGCGAUUCACUCUGUCGAGCCCUGAAAAGCCGCAGAGAAAUGGUGGUGGCGACUGUUUACUAAAAACAUAGGUCUGUGCCAAGUCGUAUAGACGACGUAUACGGACUGACGCCUGCCCGGUGCUGGAAGGUUAAAAGGAGGAGUCAGCGCAAGCGAAGCUCCGAAUUGAAGCCCCAGUAAACGGCGGCCGUAACUAUAACGGUCCUAAGGUAGCGAAAUUCCUUGUCGGGUAAGUUCCGACCUGCACGAAUGGCGUAACGAUCUCCACACUGUCUCGGCCAGAGACUCGGUGAAAUUGAAGUCGCGGUGAAAAUGCCGUGUACCCGCAGAAAGACGGAAAGACCCUGUGCACCUUUACUAUAGCUUGACAUUGGGAUUUGAGCCUGCAUGUGUAGCAUAGGUGGGAGGCUGUGAACUCUGUACGCCAGUAUGGAGGGAGCCAUCGUUGAAAUACCACCCUUGUUUGUUCAGGUCCCUAACUCCUUGCCGUGAUCCGGUAGGAGGACAGUGUCUGGUGGGUAGUUUGACUGGGGCGGUCGCCUCCCAAAAUGUAACGGA